AUUGCACGCUAGCGGGAUGCCUUACACAUGCAAGUCGCACGGAGUGGCGAACGGGUGCGUAAUGUAUCGGAACGUGCCCAGUCGCGGGGGAUAACUACGCGAAAGCGUAGCUAAUACCGCAUACUAUUGGCGCGGCCGAUAUCGGAUUAGAUAGUUGGUGGGGUAACGGUCCACAAAGGCGACGAUCCGUAGCUGGUUUGAGAGGACGACCAGCCACAGUGGAACGGAGACACGGCCCAGACUCCUACGGGAGGCAGCAGUGGGGAAUUUUGGACAAUUGGGGAAACCCUGAUCCAGCCAUCCCGCUUGUGCGAUGAAGGCCUUCGGGUUGUAAAGCACUUUUGGCAGGAAAUCGGUACCUGCAGAAUAAGCACCGGCUAACUACGUGCCAGCGGCCGCGGUAAUUC
rnacentral:rRNA from 1 species